UCAGUACGUAGGUCCUCGUUGAGGUCAUGGUCACCUGUGACGCCUCCACCACGCCUGCAACACACAGCGUCAGCUUCACAGACAGCAGGAUGAAGCUGCAGCUGGAGCUACAGGGAACAACAAAUACCUGCUCAGCCUCCUCAUCAUCACCUCUGACCCUCAGCAGUGACCUUCCCUCAGGGCCUCUAAUCCUGCAGGUCUGACGGCUCCAGGAUGAGGAUGAGGAUAACACACCGGGUCAGUAGAAGGUUUCGGUUCAGCAUCAUGAUUCAUCCACAGCUGAUCUGUACUGAUAGGUGCCAGUAAUCUCACUGGGUUGUGAGUAUUUUCUUUACAGUCACUGAAUGGAUACGUCUAUAACUCUGUGAUAUCAUCAGGAGAUCUGGAUCAAUGAACCUGAUGCUGCUUUACAAGGAAAUAUGCACUUGUGUUUUGUCUCUUAGCAGCUCUGACUGUGAAAGAAGAUUCUCUGAAAUGAACAAUAUAAUAUAAUAACAUCACUACAAAUCAACAAGGUCUCAGCACUGAUGUUCAUUUCUUUGGUUGGGCCUCCUUCGGACCAGUGGGAUCCAGAAAAAUACACCAAGAAAUGUGUGUUUAGAAGAAGGUCAGCUGAUCACAGCCUGUCCACAAAGAAGACGAGUCCAUCAAUGGUCACAGUACAAAUCAAUCUGAGGUGAAGGAGAGAUGAUCAGACGAUGCUUCCGGUCCAGUUAUGCAUUGAUGCAAAUGUAUUUGAGGUGAGAGAAUUUCAUGUAUUGGCUGUAAAGCAGCAGUGUGCUCAGAUUAUCUGAGGAAAGAGAGUAAAGAUGGAAAAGAUGUAGUCUAGUCUACUAAUUUACACUCAAAAUCUUGCAAAACAACUGUUUACCAAACUAUACAGUCCACACAAACUCUGGAGUCAGCUAAAAUUGACAGCGAGUAGGGAAAAAUAACAAAAUAUGAGUCAAAUAAGUCAAGUAAAUAACAAGGAAGAUGUUCCACUACUAGUUUAAUCUUUCAUGACAGAACAAGCUACAGAGAUGCUAAGCGAUGCUAUUUUUUUCAUCGUGCUGCUGUAUAUUUAGUCGUCAUCAUUCAGAAGCUCUUCAUAGUCAUAUUUUUUAUGUCAGGUUGUGUGAUAACAUUGUGUAUAUAUUUAUCAAGUGUCAUCUGACAAAUUUGAACCUAAAUCCAAAAUCUCACUGCUGUAAAAUGCCCGUAGUUGCAGAAACACACAUCUGUAGACGAGUUAUUUUUGCAAGAUUUUGAGUGUAAAUUAUAGAUUUUUUUCCUUAUUUUUCUAGUUUUAAUGUACCAAACUUAUUAAAAUCAUUACAAUAACCAUCUCGAUCAAUUCCUCAUGCCAAAAUUAUAUAUAGAAAAAUGGGGUCAUCUGUCUCUGCAUUCGUCGGAACUCCUAGAUGACCGCCAAGAUGGCCGCCAAGAUGGCCGCCAAACGCACCCGUGGGACAAUAUUUUGAGUCGGGAACAUGAAAAUCUGUUUACUAGACACCUUGAGGAUGACAAAAAACUAAGUUUGAAAAAUAUAUCAGUGGGGUGCAGUGGGGACCCCACCUUCCUACUACAUACACCAUGUUUGUUUACUGCUGUCGUCAUGGAAACGCUCUGCUAGCUGGAACUAGCCUAUAAGGCCUCCUCGAAGGCUGAGAUUGAUCACUAAUCAGUCAAAUUAACAUUUUACCUUCUUUACUAAAGGAAAGUAACUGAGUACAUUUACUCAGGAUACUUUACUUGAACUUUUUCCAUUUUAUGGCAGUUUACUGGCGAUGGAUAUAGAGGAUAACGAUGUCCUCUGGAGGUCAAUAUGUUCUUUCCCAUUCAUCUCAUAAAUGUGCUCUUCUUCUUCUUCUUCUUCUCUGUGCAGAGUUUGUUUUCACAUUCAUCUGCUGAAGGAGGAAAAGUUUCUCUGAGUUCAUCUUAAAUCUAAAGUUUAACACCUGGACGUACCUGCAGGAUUUAUGACAUCACAACUAGUUUGGAGCCAAUUGUGGUCCAGUAUGGAGCUUAUAAAAGUGUGAUGUGGAAACCUGAAGCCUCCGGAGCACAAACACUGAGGAUGAACUUUACUGUGAAGGAGGAGACGUCAAACUUUAGAAAUCAACAAUAUUUACAGAUUCAGAGGUUUUAAAUUUUUACAUAAAGAAGAUGAUAUAAGGAUUUUUGAGCCAUGUUAGACACAAAAUAUUAGUCAAAGCAGAAGUAUUUUAUGUCUUUAAACAUAUCUGGAGGAGAUCCCUCUUGUGAAUAUAUUAUUAUUAUGCUCCUAACUUCAUUCAUUAUCCUCAAUUUCUCAUUUUUCUUCUUGUCUUUCUUUUGUUAUGUCACACACACUCACAUUAACACCCUGGAUUCCCAUCUCAACUUUUACACACAAACGCACCACACAUUCAUGUAAAGCUUGACUUCCCUCCGUCUGCCUGGGUAAUGUAAUUAUUGUCUCACUUUAUACAUGUGUGGUCGUACGUAUAUGUGUUUAUACUGUAUGUUGUGUUAUUGUCUGUGUGUUAAG